rnacentral:misc_RNA from 1 species
GUUUAGCUAACUUUGUGUCAGUAUCUGAUGAAACCACAUACCUCAACAGCAAUUCAUACACAAGCUGUAAAUGAGGCCAAGAUGGCUCGAGACAUGGCUCAUCCUCUUCCUGUUCCACAUUUUCGGAUCCUGUAUUCUCAUGAGAUGCCGGAGGUAAACAACGAAAUAUAUUCACUGAUAUCAUCUUUACCAUUUCUUCUUGAUUACUUUCUCUUUUUCUUUCUCUCAUUCAUUUUGGGCUUUGUGC